AGGAAAUCCAAGACAGGAUACGCAUUAUUGAGCUCUACGCAAAGGACCGGCAGUUUGCAGACUUUGUACGGCAUCAUCAAGCCGUUGUGGAUACCCGCAGAGAGAGCUCCUCGGUGCACACAUGAAGCUCUACUGUAAACAAGAAACUUGCCUCUCUGUUAAAAACUGAAUCUCCCUGUCAAGACUCUCCACUUUCUUCAUCAUGGCACUGUGCGCUCAUGGACUGUUUGAGAUGGACUGUCAUUCAGCACGCUGCUCUUUACUUUCCUGACCAACGACCUCGCUCUGUCUGUCUCUCUGCGUACGUCCCUGAAGUGUUGACUCUUCUUCUUCCUUCUUUUGUGCCUUCUCUUGACUGGGUGAGCUGGUUGUGACAUCGAGUGUUUGCUGCUCAUCUGCUGGACAUCUCCUUUCAUGGGAAAACUGGACUGCAUCCUAUUACUUGAAAUGUUCAUCACAAUUCUGUCUACGCUAGUACUGUUGUUUAGUCAAAUAUCGAGUUUUGUGUCAUCAUGUCAUAACUAUCCAUUCUUUUAAAGGGAAGAACUUAAAACUGUGAAUAUGUAUAUAGUGUUGCCGUUGGUAUGUUUGCUAGUUAAAGGGGACCUAUCAUGCUUUUCUGUAUUUUCUAUAUAUUUGUAGAAUGUCAGAUGUUCAUGUUAAACGUGGCCAAAGUUUUAAAUAAUGAGGUAAUUAUAUAAAAUAAUCCCUGUAUGCAAAAACUUAAGGCAUGAGAUCGUUAGCCUGGGACAGAUUUUGUUAUAUGGUCAUCUGCUCCAGCCACACUACGGCAAGUGUUUACAUUACAUACACUGCUACAUGAAGCUACAUGCUAACAUCAGGGAAACAUGUAAUCUUUGAUAGCGAUGUUGUCAAUUCGUCCCUGAUUUUGGAUCAUAUUUCUGUUGAAACAUGACUGGUUGUGAAAAUUUUGGUUUAGAAGCAUUUAUUGGUGGUUUUUCACAGGAUUUUUUACGGCUGCAAGUACACUGCUACAUGUAGCUACCUGCUAACACCGGGAAACAUGUAAUCUUGGCUGCAGGUAUCUUUAAUUUCUUCCCAAUUUAAGAUCAAAUCCCUGCUCAAACAUGUCCAGUUGUGUUUAAAAGCUCUAACUGGUGAUUUUUCAUUGGAGAAAGUGGCGUCAUACAUGGUCAUUCCCUAGCUGCAAGUACACUGCUACGAGUAGCAAUAUGCUAAUGUCAGGGAAACCUGUAAUCUUGAUUGUUAAUGUUAUUAAUUUGUCCCUGAUUUGGAUCAUGUUUCUGCUGGAACAUGUCUGGUUGGUUAUUCACUGUUACAGUCAUUCUCCUGGCUGCAGAGAUGCUGAGAUACAGUAGACCAGAUUACGCUGACCAAUCAGAACAGACUGGGCUUUUUUAGGAGGGUGUCGUAAACAGACAGGCGCUAAAUGUUUCAAAAAGAUGGGGUGAAUACAGGUAUUCCAGUACAGACAGUAUGAGGAAUGUUUUCUUUUACAUUAAAGCAUGUAAAUAUGUUCCACUAGACACCCAAAAUACAAGUAUGGACCUGAAAAUGAGCAUGACAGGUCCCCUUUUAUGCCCAGUUCAGACCACAGAUUCGUGCUGAGACGAGUUGAAACAGGCAACUACCUGCCGGUUCACACCAAUGCAACUACAUGAAAUGGUGUAUCAUCUAACUGCAACAACUCUCUGUACUUAUGUUCUGAUUUCCAGCUUUUCAGGCUUAUUUUGUGGCUGAA